GUCUAGGGAGAUGAAACGAAGGAACCAAAGAUAGUUUGCAGCUUUAAUCUUAUGGAGCUUUAGCUGGAAAACUUCCUUUGGUACUAAUAUAGAGUCCGACAAUAGCAACAUUUAGCAGUAGUCCCAAUGAUAGUCACCGACCUCUCUUCCUGAUGUUUUCUUUUAUAUUUGUUGCUCUAGGGUUAGGUCAUUUUUUAGUCCAAAAGGCUUUAGGAGUCUCGUUUGAAUCAGAAAAAAGGAGGGAUAUUCGAGUUACAAAACUGGCUGCAGCAUAGUACACAGCCCGUGUGUCACUAGACAGGUCCCGUAAUGUAAGCCUGUGUAACUUGCUGGAGGAGAAUCACGUAAUCUUGUUUUGGCACAGAAAGUUACACGGGUCUGUGCCAACUACACAGGCCUGAUUACACAAGCCGUGUACUGUUGUUCUCAUAAGGUUCAUCAAGCUUGCA
rnacentral:misc_RNA from 1 species